GAUAGCGGCCAUAGCAACGGGGAAACACCUGGACUCUUUCCGAACCCAGCAGUUAAGCCCGUUAACGUAUUGCCCUGUACUGAGUUGCGCGAGCACUUGGGAACGGUAGUGAGCUGCUAUCC
rnacentral:rRNA from 1 species